rnacentral:rRNA from 1 species
AACGAACGCUGGCGGCGUGGAUAAGACAUGCAAGUCGAGCGCUGAUUCAAGGGUAGCAAUAUUCUUGAGUCGGAGCGGCGCAAGGGUGCGUAACACGUGGGUAAUUUGCCAUGAAGUCUGGAAUAACUUGCUGAAAGGCGAGCUAAUGCCGGAUGUGAUUUUCGGAAAGCAUUUUCUGAAACUCAAAGCUGGGGAUCGUAAGACCUGGCGCUUCUUGANAACGCCCGCGGCCUAUCAGCUAGUUGGUGAGGUAACGCUCACCAAGGCUAAGACGGGUAGCUGGUCUGAGAGGACGACCAGCCACACUGGAACUGAGACACGGUCCAGA